rnacentral:rRNA from 1 species
UGGCUCAGGAUGAACGCUAGCUACAGGCUUAACACAUGCAAGUCGAGGGGCAGCAUGGUCUUAGCUUGCUAAGGCCGAUGGCGACCGGCGCACGGGUGAGUAACACGUAUCCAACCUGCCGUCUACUCUUGGACAGCCUUCUGAAAGGAAGAUUAAUACAAGAUGGCAUCAUGAGUCCGCAUGUUCACAUGAUUAAAGGUAUUCCGGUAGACGAUGGGGAUGCGUUCCAUUAGAUAGUAGGCGGGGUAACGGCCCACCUAGUCUUCGAUGGAUAGGGGUUCUGAGAGGAAGGUCCCCCACAUUGGAACUGAGACACGGUCCAAACUCCUACGGGAGGCAGCAGUGAGGAAUAUUGGUCAAUGGGCGAGAGCCUGAACCAGCCAAGUAGCGUGAAGGAUGACUGCCCUAUGGGUUGUAAACUUCUUUUAUAAAGGAAUAAAGUCGGGUAUGCAUACCCGUUUGCAUGUACUUUAUGAAUAAGGAUCGGCUAACUCCGUGCCAGCAGCCGCGGUAAUACGGAGGAUCCGAGCGUUAUCCGGAUUUAUUGGGUUUAAAGGGAGCGUAGAUGGAUGUUUAAGUCAGUUGUGAAAGUUUGCGGCUCAACCGUAAAAUUGCAGUUGAUACUGGAUAUCUUGAGUGCAGUUGAGGCAGGCGGAAUUCGUGGUGUAGCGGUGAAAUGCUUAGAUAUCACGAAGAACUCCGAUUGCGAAGGCAGCCUGCUAAGCUGCAACUGACAUUGAGGCUCGAAAGUGUGGGUAUCAAACAGGAUUAGAUACCCUGGUAGUCCACACGGUAAACGAUGAAUACUCGCUGUUUGCGAUAUACAGCAAGCGGCCAAGCGAAAGCGUUAAGUAUUCCACCUGGGGAGUACGCCGGCAACGGUGAAACUCAAAGGAAUUGACGGGGGCCCGCACAAGCGGAGGAACAUGUGGUUUAAUUCGAUGAUACGCGAGGAACCUUACCCGGGCUUAAAUUGCAGAUGAAUUACGGUGAAAGCCGUAAGCCGCAAGGCAUCUGUGAAGGUGCUGCAUGGUUGUCGUCAGCUCGUGCCGUGAGGUGUCGGCUUAAGUGCCAUAACGAGCGCAACCCUUGUUGUCAGUUACUAACAGGUUCCGCUGAGGACUCUGACAAGACUGCCAUCGUAAGAUGUGAGGAAGGUGGGGAUGACGUCAAAUUAGCACGGCCCUUACGUCCGGGGCUACACACGUGUUACAAUGGGGGGUACAGAGGGCCGCUACCACGCGAGUGGAUGCCAAUCCCAAAAACCUCUCUCAGUUCGGACUGGAGUCUGCAACCCGACUCCACGAAGCUGGAUUCGCUAGUAAUCGCGCAUCAGCCACGGCGCGGUGAAUACGUUCCCGGGCCUUGUACACACCGCCCGUCAAGUCAUGGGAGCCGGGGGUACCUGAAGUGCGUAACCGCGAGGAGCGCCCUAGGGUA